rnacentral:tRNA from 1 species
GGGGGCAUGUUCUGAGGUGAACGAGACAGAAACAGAGUGACACGCGGCGCUGACAUCGUUGAAUGUUCUGGAAGCCUUCCAAGCUGAAUACGCGGGUUCGAUUCCCGCUACCCGCUCCA